AUUGAACCCUGGCGGCAGGCCUAACACAUGCAAGUCGAACGGUAACAGAAAGCAGCUUGCUGCUUUGCUGACGAGUGGCGGACGGGUGAGUAAUGUCUGGGAAACUGCCUGAUGGAGGGGGAUAACUACUGGAAACGGUAGCUAAUACCGCAUAACGUCGCAAGACCAAAGAGGGGGACCUUCGGGCCUCUUGCCAUCGGAUGUGCCCAGAUGGGAUUAGCUAGUAGGUGGGGUAACGGCUCACCUAGGCGACGAUCCCUAGCUGGUCUGAGAGGAUGACCAGCCACACUGGAACUGAGACACGGUCCAGACUCCUACGGGAGGCAGCAGUGGGGAAUAUUGCACAAUGGGCGCAAGCCUGAUGCAGCCAUGCCGCGUGUAUGAAGAAGGCCUUCGGGUUGUAAAGUACUUUCAGCGGGGAGGAAGGGAGUAAAGUUAAUACCUUUGCUCAUUGACGUUACCCGCAGAAGAAGCACCGGCUAACUCCGUG
rnacentral:rRNA from 1 species